GCGGCAGGCCUAACACAUGCAAGUCGAACGUGAAGCCACCUUCGGGUGGUGGAAAGUGGCAGACGGGUGAGUAACGCGUGGGAAUCUACCCAAUGGUACGGAAUAACUCAGGGAAACUUGAGCUAAUACCGUAUGUGCCCGAAAGGGGAAAGAUUUAUCGCCAUUGGAUGAGCCCGCGUCGGAUUAGCUAGUUGGUGGGGUAACGGCCCACCAAGGCGACGAUCCGUAGCUGGUCUGAGAGGAUGAUCAGCCACACUGGGACUGAGACACGGCCCAGACUCCUACGGGAGGCAGCAGUGGGGAAUAUUGGACAAUGGGCGCAAGCCUGAUCCAGCCAUGCCGCGUGAGUGAUGAAGGCCCUAGGGUUGUAAAGCUCUUUCGACGGGGACGAUAAUGACGGUACCCGUAGAAGAAGCCCCGGCUAACUUCGUGCCAGCAGCCGCCGUAACAC
rnacentral:rRNA from 1 species